AGGACGAACGCUGGCGGCGUGCUUAACACAUGCAAGUCGAGCGGAAAGGCCCUUCGGGGUACUCGAGCGGCGAACGGGUGAGUAACACGUGAGUAAUCUGCCCCUAGCUCUGGGAUAGCUCCGGGAAACCGGGAUUAAUACCAGAUACGACCACUUUAGACAUCUGUUGUGGUGGAAAGAAUUUCGGCUAGGGAUGAGCUCGCGGCCUAUCAGCUUGUUGGUGAGGUAACGGCUCACCAAGGCGACGACGGGUAGCCGGCCUGAGAGGGCGACCGGCCACACUGGGACUGAGACACGGCCCAGACUCCUACGGGAGGCAGCAGUGGGGAAUAUUGCGCAAUGGGCGAAAGCCUGACGCAGCGACGCCGCGUGGGGGAUGAAGGCCUUCGGGUUGUAAACCCUUUCAGCAGGGACGAAGCGAAGUGACGGUACCUGCAGAAGAAGCGCCGGCUAACUACGCGCCAGCAGCCGC
rnacentral:rRNA from 1 species